rnacentral:rRNA from 1 species
AUUGAACGCUGGCGGCAGGCCUAACACAUGCAAGUCGAACGGAACAGGAAGAAGCUUGCUUCUUUGCUGACGAGUGGCGGACGGGUGAGUAAUGUCUGGGAAACUGCCUGAUGGAGGGGGAUAACUACUGGAAACGGUAGCUAAUACCGCAUAACGUCGCAAGACCAAAGAGGGGGACCUUCGGGCCUCUUGCCAUCGGAUGUGCCCAGAUGGGAUUAGCUAGUAGGUGGGGUAACGGCUCACCUAGGCGACGAUCCCUAGCUGGUCUGAGAGGAUGACCAGCCACACUGGAACUGAGACACGGUCCAGACUCCUACGGGAGGCAGCAGUGGGGAAUAUUGCACAAUGGGCGCAAGCCUGAUGCAGCCAUGCCGCGUGUAUGAAGAAGGCCUUCGGGUUGUAAAGUACUUUCAGCGGGGAGGAAGGGAGUAAAGUUAAUACCUUUGCUCAUUGACGUUACCCGCAGAAGAAGCACCGGCUAACUCCGUG